AACGAACGCUGGCGGCGCGCUUAACACAUGCAAGUCGAACGAGAAGGCGUAGCAAUAACGCUUGUACAGUGGCGAACGGGUGAGUAAUACGUGGGCGACCUACCCUCGAGUGGGGAAUAACCCGCCGAAAGGCGGGCUAAUGCCGCGUACGCUUCCAUCUUUAUGGAGGUGGAAGGAAAGCCGUGCCGUGGGCACGGCGCUCAGGGAUGGGCUCACGUCCUAUCAGCUUGUUGGAGGGUAACGGCCUACCAAGGCUCCGACGGGUAGCUGGUCUGAGAGGACGAUCAGCCACACUGGCACUGCGACACGGGCCAGACUCCUACGGGAGGCAGCAGUGAGGAAUAUUGCGCAAUGGGCGAAAGCCUGACGCAGCGACGCCGCGUGGGGGAUGAAGGUCUUCGGAUU
rnacentral:rRNA from 1 species